rnacentral:lncRNA from 1 species
UUAAGAUUCACUUACUGUGACUCUGAAAGCAUUUUCUCAGGCCAAUAUUUUGAAACGAUUGACUCAGCCCUAUUUACUUGUUAACAUUGUUUCCCCUUAGGCUGCACACAUACUUUUGCCAACUCUUUUUAAAUCAUUUCUUGUGGUCUGAAUGUUUGUGUCCUCUAAAAUUUAAUGUUGAAAUCCUAACCUUGAAAGACAUGGUAUGAAAAGGUAGAGCUCUGGGGAGGUGAUUAGAUCAUGAAGCAGAAUCCUAAGGACCGCGAUUAGUGCCCUUACAAAAGAGACCCUAGAGAGCUAGUCUGCACCUACCACCAUGUGAGGAUACAGUAGAAGUCAACCAUCUAUGAACCAGAAAGCAGGCCUUCACCUUCACUAGCCUUGAAUUUGCCAGCACCUUAAUCUUGGACUUCCAGCCUCCAGAACUGUCAAAAAAUAAAUUUCUAUUAUUGACAAGCUACCUAGUUUAUAGCAUAUUUUUACAACAGUCCAUAUGGAUUAAUGCACCAUUGGAGUACACAGGAGAGAUCAGAGCAACAUUUCUGAGUUUCAGUCCCCACUCUGUUACUUAAUGAUAAAUAGGAAACCCUGCCAUGUUGAAAGGAAUACAACCCAACAUGGAGUAGAAACAAGAAAUCAAGAUAUACACUCUAGGACAAGGAGCAAUAAGAAUUUGACUUAAAAUGGUUAUUUAGCAUGUAUUAGAGUUGCAACUGGAUUUUAUGUAGUUAUGAGGGAACCCUGAAAAAAGUACCAUUGAACAGAAAUGAGAUUUGGUUUCAGAACUUCAGCCCAAAUGCUAUUAAAUCUUUUGCAUUUCUUGAACUAUACCCCUUGUGUCUUUGUCAUAAUUUUCCAGAGGUCUUCUCAGUCAAUAUGGGUUCAGUUUACAUAAUCCUGUCAACUGAAUAAAGUAAAUAUGUAUUAGGCUUCUGAGUAAAGUGUAAUCAUAAGCAUUGCAUUGAUAUAAGAUAUAUAAACUCAAGGAUAUAAAGAAACAAUUUUUUUGUUCGUUUUGUUUUGGUUUUGUUUUAAGUCAAAGGAAAGGUGUGGUUCAGGAGUGAUAAAUUGCAGCCUGGUGAUCAAGAAGAUUUAAAAUUUAUCUCAACUUUACUAAAGUCUUCCUGACUAUAGGCCCCUGACCAAUCUUUUCUUGGAGCACUUACUUCAGAAAAAUUGCAAAUGUUAAUUUUUUAUUUGCUGAUGAUGUAAUAUCUGUCUCAAGUAUCUGGGAAUCAUCAAUUUGAAAAGUAAUAGGAAAGAAAGAACCCUUGUCUCCUAGUUUCAGUGAAAUGAUAGGAGUUGUAGAUAAAUACCAACUAGCAACACAAAUGGCCUAAUAACAUUGCACAACCUAUUUGAUAACAUCAUUGUCUUCCAGUACUUUUCCAGUAGCUUCCCCUGGUGCUUAAGAAUUUACCCAACUUCUGUUUGAGUGGAGUGGAGUCAUUCUUUCUCCUUCACAAUAGUGUUGAAUAAA